ensembl:lncRNA
GCACAAUAAAUGAAAAUGUGUGUUGUUGUUCCACAGGAGCAGCUUCUGUUCCUCCAAAAGCCCACCUGAUGAUCUCCCCUGCAGUCAUCAGAGAGAGUGACACACUUCAGAUGACUUGUGAAGUACCUCAGUCUCAGUCUGCGUCUCUGUGUGUAUUCUACCUGGAUGGGAUAGAGGCUCCUCCAUACAGUCACCCAUCAUGUCAGAUCUCCCUCACUGGUGUUCAGCUCCUGCAGUGGACACGUCAGAGUUCCCCUCUAGAGGCUAAAGUGGGGUGUUAUUAUACAGUAACAUCACUAGGGCAGCAAAUCCAACAUUCUGCUCACUCUGACCUUGUUUCAGUGACUGUUCUAGACAGACUGCAGAAGCCACACAUAACGGCCCUUCAUGAUGGCUCCACCUCCAU